CGGGUGUUUGAAUCUAGCCUCUACUAGGCUUUGUCUGUGUUUUGGAUUACUUACAACUUGUUAUCGUCAGACAUAGCCUGAAAGAGGUUAGGUGAAAAGCCUAUU
rfam:Megaselia scalaris, Durham, NC isolate 2 -- Noor lab, WGS project CAQQ02000000 data, contig: ctg0000200061